AACGAACGCUGGCGGCAGGCUUAACACAUGCAAGUCGAACGCACCGCAAGGUGAGUGGCAGACGGGUGAGUAACACGUGGGGAUCUGCCCAAUGGUACGGAAUAGCUCCGGGAAACUGGAAUUAAUACCGUAUGAGCCCGCAAGGGGAAAGAUUUAUCGCCAUUGGAUGAACCCGCGUCGGAUUAGCUAGUUGGUGUGGUAAAGGCGCACCAAGGCGACGAUCCGUAGCUGGUCUGAGAGGAUGAUCAGCCACACUGGGACUGAGACACGGCCCAGACUCCUACGGUAGGCAGCAGUGGGGAAUAUUGGACAAUGGGCGCAAGCCUGAUCCAGCCAUGCCACGUGAGUGAUGAAGGCCUUAGGGUUGUAAAGCUCUUUCGCCGACGAAGAUAGUGACGGUAGUCGGAGAAGAAGCCCCGGCUAACUUCGUGCCAGCCGCCGCCGUAAUAC
rnacentral:rRNA from 1 species